rnacentral:rRNA from 1 species
UACGGGGGGGGCAAGCGUUGUUCGGAAUUACUGGGCGUAAAGGGCUCGUAGGUGGCCAACUAAGUCAGACGUGAAAUCCCUCGGCUUAACCGGGGAACUGCGUCUGAUACUGGAUGGCUUGAGAUUGGGAGAGGGAUGCGGAAUUCCAGGUGUAGCGGUGAAAUGCGUAGAUAUCUGGAGGAACACCGGUGGCGAAGGCGGCAUCCUGGACCAACACUGACGCUGAGGGAGUGAAAGCCAGGGGAGCAAACGGG